GGGUUGUGAGGUUAAGCGACUAAGCGUACACGGUGGAUGCCCUGGCAGUCAGAGGCGAUGAAGGACGUGCUAAUCUGCGAUAAGCGUCGGUAAGGUGAUAUGAACCGUUAUAACCGGCGAUUUCCGAAUGGGGAAACCCAGUGUGUUUCGACACACUAUCAUUAACUGAAUCCAUAGGUUAAUGAGGCGAACCGGGGGAACUGAAACAUCUAAGUACCCCGAGGAAAAGAAAUCAACCGAGAUUCCCCCAGUAGCGGCGAGCGAACGGGGAGGAGCCCAGAGCCUGAAUCAGUGUGUGUGUUAGUGGAAGCGUCUGGAAAGGCGCGCGAUACAGGGUGACAGCCCCGUACACAAAAAUGCACAUGCUGUGAGCUCGAUGAGUAGGGCGGGACACGUGGUAUCCUGUCUGAAUAUGGGGGGACCAUCCUCCAAGGCUAAAUACUCCUGACUGACCGAUAGUGAACCAGUACCGUGAGGGAAAGGCGAAAAGAACCCCGGCGAGGGGAGUGAAAAAGAACCUGAAACCGUGUACGUACAAGCAGUGGGAGCACAGAGCAAUCUGUGUGACUGCGUACCUUUUGUAUAAUGGGUCAGCGACUUAUAUUCUGUAGCAAGGUUAACCGAAUAGGGGAGCCGAAGGGAAACCGAGUCUUAACUGGGCGUUAAGUUGCAGGGUAUAGACCCGAAACCCGGUGAUCUAGCCAUGGGCAGGUUGAAGGUUGGGUAACACUAACUGGAGGACCGAACCGACUAAUGUUGAAAAAUUAGCGGAUGACUUGUGGCUGGGGGUGAAAGGCCAAUCAAACCGGGAGAUAGCUGGUUCUCCCCGAAAGCUAUUUAGGUAGCGCCUCGUGAAUUCAUCUCCGGGGUAGAGCACUGUUUCGGCAAGGGGGUCAUCCCGACUUACCAACCCGAUGCAAACUGCGAAUACCGGAGAAUGUUAUCACGGGAGACACACGGCGGGUGCUAACGUCCGUCGUGAAGAGGGAAACAACCCAGACCGCCAGCUAAGGUCCCAAAGUCAUGGUUAAGUGGGAAACGAUGUGGGAAGGCCCAGACAGCCAGGAUGUUGGCUUAGAAGCAGCCAUCAUUUAAAGAAAGCGUAAUAGCUCACUGGUCGAGUCGGCCUGCGCGGAAGAUGUAACGGGCUAAACCAUGCACCGAAGCUGCGGCAGCGACACUGUGUGUUGUUGGGUAGGGGAGCGUUCUGUAAGCCUGUGAAGGUGUGCUGUGAGGUAUGCUGGAGGUAUCAGAAGUGCGAAUGCUGACAUAAGUAACGAUAAAGCGGGUGAAAAGCCCGCUCGCCGGAAGACCAAGGGUUCCUGUCCAACGUUAAUCGGGGCAGGGUGAGUCGACCCCUAAGGCGAGGCCGAAAGGCGUAGUCGAUGGGAAACAGGUUAAUAUUCCUGUACUUGGUGUUACUGCGAAGGGGGGACGGAGAAGGCUAUGUUGGCCGGGCGACGGUUGUCCCGGUUUAAGCGUGUAGGCUGGUUUUCCAGGCAAAUCCGGAAAAUCAAGGCUGAGGCGUGAUGACGAGGCACUACGGUGCUGAAGCAACAAAUGCCCUGCUUCCAGGAAAAGCCUCUAAGCAUCAGGUAACAUCAAAUCGUACCCCAAACCGACACAGGUGGUCAGGUAGAGAAUACCAAGGCGCUUGAGAGAACUCGGGUGAAGGAACUAGGCAAAAUGGUGCCGUAACUUCGGGAGAAGGCACGCUGAUAUGUAGGUGAAGUCCCUCGCGGAUGGAGCUGAAAUCAGUCGAAGAUACCAGCUGGCUGCAACUGUUUAUUAAAAACACAGCACUGUGCAAACACGAAAGUGGACGUAUACGGUGUGACGCCUGCCCGGUGCCGGAAGGUUAAUUGAUGGGGUUAGCGCAAGCGAAGCUCUUGAUCGAAGCCCCGGUAAACGGCGGCCGUAACUAUAACGGUCCUAAGGUAGCGAAAUUCCUUGUCGGGUAAGUUCCGACCUGCACGAAUGGCGUAAUGAUGGCCAGGCUGUCUCCACCCGAGACUCAGUGAAAUUGAACUCGCUGUGAAGAUGCAGUGUACCCGCGGCAAGACGGAAAGACCCCGUGAACCUUUACUAUAGCUUGACACUGAACAUUGAGCCUUGAUGUGUAGGAUAGGUGGGAGGCUUUGAAGUGUGGACGCCAGUCUGCAUGGAGCCGACCUUGAAAUACCACCCUUUAAUGUUUGAUGUUCUAACGUGGACCCGUGAUCCGGGUUGCGGACAGUGUCUGGUGGGUAGUUUGACUGGGGCGGUCUCCUCCUAAAGAGUAACGGAGGAGCACGAAGGUUGGCUAAUCCUGGUCGGACAUCAGGAGGUUAGUGCAAUGGCAUAAGCCAGCUUGACUGCGAGCGUGACGGCGCGAGCAGGUGCGAAAGCAGGUCAUAGUGAUCCGGUGGUUCUGAAUGGAAGGGCCAUCGCUCAACGGAUAAAAGGUACUCCGGGGAUAACAGGCUGAUACCGCCCAAGAGUUCAUAUCGACGGCGGUGUUUGGCACCUCGAUGUCGGCUCAUCACAUCCUGGGGCUGAAGUAGGUCCCAAGGGUAUGGCUGUUCGCCAUUUAAAGUGGUACGCGAGCUGGGUUUAGAACGUCGUGAGACAGUUCGGUCCCUAUCUGCCGUGGGCGCUGGAGAACUGAGGGGGGCUGCUCCUAGUACGAGAGGACCGGAGUGGACGCAUCACUGGUGUUCGGGUUGUCAUGCCAAUGGCACUGCCCGGUAGCUAAAUGCGGAAGAGAUAAGUGCUGAAAGCAUCUAAGCACGAAACUUGCCCCGAGAUGAGUUCUCCCUGACCCUUUAAGGGUCCUGAAGGAACGUUGAAGACGACGACGUUGAUAGGCCGGGUGUGUAAGCGCAGCGAUGCGUUGAGCUAACCGGUACUAAUGAACCGUGAGGCUUAACCUUACAACGCCGAAGGUGUUU
rnacentral:rRNA from 1 species